AUCUGGGAUCUCCAAGUGGGGGAUUUUUGGGAAUCUGAGUGUUUGGGAUGGAUCUGGGAUCUCCAGGUGGGGGAUUUUUGGGAAUCUGAGCUGUGUGUUUGGGAUGGAUCUGCAACAUCCACGACCUCCAAGUGGUGGAUUUUGGAGAACACUCAAGUGCUGAGCUGGGAGGAGUUCCCUGGCUGUGCUGGGCAGGUGGGGAGGGAGGGCCCAUCCCUCCUGAUCCUCGGGAUGAGCCUCAUUCCCGCUUUUCCUCUGGCUCUGGGCGUUUCCUCCUGGGGCAGAGCCAGGAAAGGAGCUGGUGCUUUGUCAGUUCCUUCAGCUCAGGGACAUUCCAGUCCAGGAACAUUCCACAUUCCCAAGUGCUGCUGGGGUUCCCUGCCCUGCGUGGACACUGCAGCCCUGUGGAUCCUUCUGUUCUGGGAUGAUUUCGAUUGUUUUCUUGGGAAUAAACAAAUUUUUCCUGAUGCUGAACCUGUUCCUGCCUUCCUGAUUUCUCCUGCCUGGUGCCAGGUGUGUCCAUGGCGUGCUUUAACCUGUUCCAGGAUCUUUGGGAUUUCCCAAGCAGUGACCAGAGCUGCUGCCAUGGAGCUGCUGAUCCAUAAAUCCUGCAGAGCUCACAGAUCUGGAUUAAAUCCCUGAGGGAUGCCAGUGAUCCCAAGGAUGGAAAAAAAAAACCCAAAAUGUGUUGGCAGCAAAGAGCUCUGGAGAGUUCCCAGUGGGAAUGUGAUGGGAAAAGGGGACAGUUUGGAACACAGCACAGGAAAUGCUGCUUUUCCAAGCUCUGAUUCAGCUGAGCUUGGCAAGGAGGAAGCACCAAACAGAAAUGAUGUUUUUAUAACCCAAUGUCUGCCAGGAAAUUUGUUCUGCAUUGGAUAUUUCUCAUCAAGAGAUUUUCGUUGUGUCGUCGUCCCUCUGGGAAAUGCUAAAAACUCCUUUUCAUCAAAAAUCCAUCACCAGGAGGUCACUCUGGAUGAUUUAUUAACCAUUUAUUAUCCCUCCAAUGCUGCACAAAACCAUUUCAUCGUUUUUGUCUUGAAACAGCCACCAAAAAAUUCCUUAAGGCACGAAAUUGGCUCAGCUCGCAACGGGGCCUGCUCCCAGCCUGGUGCUCAGGGAAUCCAUGGAUCCUGACAUCCAAACACAACUUCCCAGGUGGGACAGAGCCAAAAACUCCCUCAGCCAGAGGGGGAGGUACCUUCCAGCAGGUCCUGCUGGUCUGCUUCUCCUUCAGGAGCCAGCCACACACAGGGACACUCCCAGCACG
rnacentral:lncRNA from 13 species